GUAGUACUCCCUCCGUUCGGAAUUACUCGUCCAAGAAAUGAAUGUAUCUAGAUGUAUUUUAGUUGUAGAUACAUCCAUUUUUGUGACAAGUAAUUCCGAAUGGAGGAAGUAGUGG
rnacentral:pre_miRNA from 1 species